GCUCCGAUAGUGUAGCACGGCCAAUCAUGCGGGACUCUCACUCCCGCGACUGGGGUUCAAAUCCCCAUCGGAGCA
rnacentral:tRNA from 3 species